GCAGCGGUAGUUCAGUGGGAGAAUGCAGGGCUGUGGACCCUGAGACGCGAGUCCGAUUCUCGCCUGCUGCC
rnacentral:tRNA from 1 species